rnacentral:lncRNA from 1 species
GCCAUCAACAUCAACCAGAAAAUAACCAUUAGAAAUUUAACUGCGUUCAGUUGAUGACCUUCACUAAGCUAAAUUCAGCAGUUUGUCAGCUACAAAACAUUAAAUAGACACAAUUAAGAAGUUUGAAAAACAUUAAGCAGAAUUUAAACUAAAGUAACAUGAACAUUAACGGGAAUAAAACGUAACUAGAUUCAUGGUACUGACAUUUUAGACAAGUGCUUCAAAUGGAAGGCAAAAGUGGGGGGACACAGCGGUGCAGAAAUCCAAAACUCAGUAGGUACACAGUUCAGCAGCUUAUCAUUUCUCCACCUUGAUAAAUGUACACCCAAUAAUGACAAUAACAAUAAUGAAAAUGUACUAAGCAGUUACUAGGUGCUGCACAUUUUUCUACUUCGUUCCAUUUUCGUUUACAGUUCAUUGGAUUUUAUUAUCCUCCACACUGCAAAUAAGAAACGGAGGCUCAGAGGCAUUAGAUAAAUUGCUCAACUUCACAGAGCUGGUAAGCAGACUUGCUAGGAUUCAAACCCAGGUCUCUGAUUCCAAAGCUGCUGUUCUUUCCCCACAGCCUCCGAAUGAAGAAUCACAUGACUUUUACCUUUUCCCAUGAUCAGAGGGAAACGUUUCAAAGUUUCAAAGAUUCGUUUUGUGCUUUCUGCACCCUAAGAGAGCAAGCUGAAAACAUCCACCUUGAAUGGUAGCAUUACAUAUCACUUAUCUAUGACACAGAAAGCUGAUAAAAACAGAUUCUCCUUAAAAAAAAAAAAAGGCAAAUUACAAAACAAAACAAAAAGUUGUUUACCAACAAAAAUCAGGAAGUAUUUGAGUACCUAUUAUAGAAGUCCAGCCCCAGUAUUAGAUACUAUAAGGUCUCCGAGAGGAGUAUUAAGACACAAUGCCCUUAAAAAAACUCCCACUCCAGUUGGGACAAGAACAAGUUCAACAGCCAAGGAACAAGUGCUGAAUCCGAGUGCCACAAAGCCAUGGGGGCAGGGAAGUCAGGGAACACCCUCUGGAGGAAGUAUAUCUGCAGCAGGGGCUUGAAGGAAGUGAAAUGGAGAAUUUGCACAGAAAAGAAAAAGGAGGCCAGUGCUUCAGAAGGGGGAACAACAGAAGCAAAACCCAAGAAGCCGUAACUAACUCAGUUCUGCAGGGGACAGACUUGGAGAAGCAGAGAAUAAGGUUCAGAUACGGCCUGAAUCUCCGCUUCUCAUUGAUUCCAGAUUCCUGAGCACUUGGAGAGCCAAGAUAGCCAGGUUAUAACUGGUCCCAGCUUCUCCUUCUGGCCUCCACAAGGGACCCUUUCUGCCAGAAGUCCAGCUGCAGGACUUGGCUCUGGUCCACCUGGCAAUCCUCAGAGUUUGGCAAAACCUGUUGACUGUUGGCACCUGUUAGUCUUUAUACACACACAUAACUCAUGUGUCUCCCUUAAACAAAAUAUAUGAAUUAUUUGCGGUUUCCUCAUUCUUCCUCCUCUAAUCAGGACCCACUAGUGUGUCCCUUCCACAUGCCUCACUACCUGAACAGUACCGUCGAAGGGGGAGCCUGUCUCUCCAAACAGUCCCAAGAUGUCCACUGACUUCCAGAUCAUUCCAGUAGGUCAGGGUUCCUUCUACCUGGCUGCCUCUGCAGAGGAGGGUGAACAUUCCUCAUGGGUCAGGGAGAGCACUUCCUUGGAGAACCCUCAGACACUCACCACCUUUACAAUGGGGACCAGGUAGUUGGUUUACCCCUCGGAGCUUCUCUUCUUCACCUGUUAGAUGAUGGUGAGGCUGAGGGGUGUGAUCUGAAGAGCUUCUUUUCCGUGAUCAAGACCGGGCAGUAGAGAAUCCUGUGGCUAAGCAAUAAGGCAGAUCCAGGUCUAAACCCCAGCUCAGCCACACAAGACCUCUGUGACCUGAGAUGGGGCAAGACAUUUGACCCUACUGAGCCUUGGCCUCCUUGUCUGUGUAGCAACGGGGAUGGUACCUACCUCAGUGGGCAAAUAAGAUAAUAAUUUAAU